rnacentral:rRNA from 1 species
GACGAACGCUGGCGGCGUGCUUAACACAUGCAAGUCGAACGGAAAGGCCCUGCUUUUGUGGGGUGCUCGAGUGGCGAACGGGUGAGUAACACGUGAGUAACCUGCCCUUGACUUUGGGAUAACUUCAGGAAACUGGGGCUAAUACCGGAUAGGAGCUCCUGCUGCAUGGUGGGGGUUGGAAAGUUUCGGCGGUUGGGGAUGGACUCGCGGCUUAUCAGCUUGUUGGUGGGGUAGUGGCUUACCAAGGCUUUGACGGGUAGCCGGCCUGAGAGGGUGACCAGCCACAUUAGGAUUGAGAUACGGCCCAGACUCCUACGGGAGGCAGCAGUGGGGAAUAUUGCACAAUGGGCGGAAGCCUGAUGCAGCGACGCCGCGUGCGGGAAGACGGCCUUCGGGUUGUAAACCGCUUUCACCUGUGACGAAGCGUGAGUGACGGUAAUGGGUAAAGAAGCACCGGCUAACUACGUG